rnacentral:misc_RNA from 1 species
AGGGAGCCCCCGCCCCUGCCCCUGCCUCCCAAGAGCCCCUUCCCAUAGCUGGACCAGCGACAGCACCUGCUCCACGGCCACUUGGCUCUAUUCAGAGACCAAACAGCUUCCUCUUCCGUUCCUCCUCUCAGAGUGGCUCAGGCCCUUCCUCACCAGACUCUGUCCUGAGACCUCGGCGGUACCCCCAGGUUCCAGAUGAGAAG